UGUACUCAGGUGAAUAAUAUGUUUGUGAUGUUACUCUGAGUGCAUAUCCACAACGGGCGAGCUUGAAAAAUAUGCCCAUCACAAACAUAUUAUUCACUUGAGUACA